GAGCCCAGAGUCCAUUGGCCAGUCCUUGGCCAGGCUCUGGCUUCACAAAGGGAUGCGGAACACUGUGGAAUUCUCUUGUUUCCCUGGCAACCAGAUGCCUGCUUUGAACUGAUUCUGAGAUCAGUUGGCAGCACAGACUCCUUCAGUUAACUGUCUUUGGUUCACCUGAAAGCCAGCAGGGAGGACUUCUGCCUCCCCUCAGAGGUGGACCUUGGUCUUUCCUGUUUCAGCGGCACCCUGUGCAAGGCCAACAUUCAAUAGUGUCCCCCCCCCCAUUGUGCUCAAUUCACUAUGAUGCCCUGUGGCAUCCCCUAGGCUCAGUGCCCAGUGUGGUGGAACCGGGCACACUGCCCCAAAUCUGCCUCAGCUCCCCAGUUGCACAAUGUGGGUCUGUUUCGGUGGAUUCCACAGAAGGUAAAGUCAGAACUGCCUCUCACCUGCGGUUCCUGGGCGUCCUGACUGUUGUCUUCCACCAGUGCAUGUUCAAGAAGAACCGCAAACUGCCUCUCACCUGCGGUUCCUGGGCGUCCUGACUGCUUUCUUCCACCAGUGCAUGUUCAAGAAGAACCGCAAACUGCCUCUCACCUGCCGUUCCUGGGCGUCCUGACUGUUCUCUUCCACCAGUGCAUGUUCAAGAAGAACCGCAGUAAGUCCACUUCCUUUGCUCAGCCAGAGUCCACACAGACCAGGUCCCUGUUCUGUAGCUGGAGCAGACUGCUGCUUCCACAUGGGUGGGUUGGAAGCAGGAGGCGAGAUUCCCUCCCAAGCCCCCCAGAGGGACAAUUGGAGCAGAGCACCACAAGAGCCCUUGGCAGUUGGGUCAAGCACUAGGUGGCUCAGUUAGACCUGUGGCCUGUUCUCCCAGGAGCUCACAGGCAGCAUGACAGAAGUCCCAGUACAGCGCUCCCCAGGAAGAGGUCUUUUUCAAAGACACUUGCUGCCUUUGGUUUGUGUGGGUGGGGGGAGGAUGAAGGGACUUGGACUGAAGCACAAGGAGGGUUCUUAAAGGACAGCCCACAGAAAGGGAUUCCCUCCUCUGUGGAUGGCCUGCUUGCUCCUGGGGUCAUCAACUACAGCAGAAACAUCCUUUGGCUCCUGCCAGCACUAACUGCCUCCCAUGCUGAGGCAUCUCACACAAAUAUGCCACAUUUACAUACUUCAGAGUCUAGGGUGCGGAAACCAAUUGGGAGGUGACUUAAAUGCAUAAACUAUUCUCCUGGGAUGGUUCCGGAUUUACAAAAGCUGUUCUGGUUUCUCAUUUGAUACCGGAAUGUCCUGCUUCUUCAGAGAAAUUCUGGAGGGUUUGUUGGUACGUCCCUAUUAUCAUUGGAGAGAUGUUGGAGGGAAUGGAGUGAGGCUUCCCCUGGGGCUUUUUUUUGGCCGGAACUCACCGGAACUCAUUUCCGGACCCUUUCAGAGAACGAGGGAGGUUUCAUGCUGCAUCCCAGCACCUCUUUUUUUCUAGAAGAAUACCACUGCAUGUCUCUAUUUUCAUGAGAAGGUAAGUGGAAGGUAAGUGACUGCAACAAACACUGGUGAGGGCUCAAUUGGUAGAACUUGUCAGUGCAGGGGAUCUGCCUCACACCACCCUAAAUCUGGUGCUGAGAAGGGGUGCACUUUGCUGUCAUCCCACCAGACAGCCAAACAUCUUAGGUCAAAGUGUUUAGUAUGCCAACUCCUUUCAUUGGUUUUGUGCUGGUCCCGUGGGUUACCCAAGAGGCAAAGUCCAAGUCUGGUCCGUGGUCAAAGGUGCAACAAGGAGGCAGUCCGUAGAAGCUGAAGCUGAAGCUGGGUGCAGGGCAGGGAGUCGGGUGAAGUCAGGGACAGGCAUGCAAGCAGGGAGCCAGGGCGGCUCAGGACCUCGGGCAGGAAAGCAGGACAGGGUUCAGGCAGGAACUAGCAACCAACAAUGUUGCUCCCGCAACUUGGGACUGGGGCUGGCCGGCUUUUAUCUUCCCCAAGGCAUAGGGCAGCCCCGAUCCUCAGGUGACUCACCUCUCCUGGCCUGGAGGUGAGCACUCCUCCUGAGGGAACUUAGUUCCCUCUGCCUCUCUGCCCUGAGCCUCUGCAGCUCAGGAGAGGCUGGAGGGUUACCGGACCCAGAGGCAACCUCAGCUUCCCCUGACGGGGCUGAGAGUGGAGCACCUGCAGGCGAUGGGUCCUCCAUCACCUCAGGAGCCAGAGCAGGCUCAGCUGGUGCCUGCACCUGAGGAUCCAGCACAGGUGAGGACCCUUCAGGCUCAUGCCCCAGCCCCGGCUCAGCUGGUUCUGGAGGUGGGGAAUUCUGUGCAGGCUGGGAUCCCUCAGGUUCAGCAUCUGAGUCCGAAUCCCAGGACAUCCCAGGUUUUCAGGGCAAGGAACAGAAAGGGGAAUGAGCGUGUUCUGGCUGUUCUCAAAGCGAGGGAAUACCACUGCCUCUCUGUGGUGUGUAGCCAGGGUAGCUGACCUAACAAAUUCAGAUGCCCAUUUCCCAAUGUGGGAAAGCCUGUGAGGAGUUUCCUCUGCUGUCUAAGGAGGCGCUUCUGCCCUGAGGAAGAAUUUCCGCCAUCUGAGAGAUUAGUACGAUGGAGAGGCAGGGACGUGGGCAGUGAGGUGGGCUGGGCAGCGUCAGGGGCCAAGGCUGCUGGAAUUUCCUGGCCCUUCCCUCAAGCAAGGUUUGGGUGAGGCAGAGCCACUGCCUCAUGGCAAAACGGGAUGGGGCCUGGGGCAUGCACAGGCUCCCCUGCUAGGCUGCCCAGUGCCAGUCCAGCUGCGCUGCCUGGCUGCUAGGA